GGAAGUAAAAGUCGUAACAAGGUUUCCGUAGGUGAACCUGCGGAAGGAUCAUUACCGAGUGAGGGCCCUCUGGGUCCAACCUCCCACCCGUGUUUAUUUUACCUUGUUGCUUCGGCGGGCCCGCCUUAACUGGCCGCCGGGGGGCUUACGCCCCCGGGCCCGCGCCCGCCGAAGACACCCUCGAACUCUGUCUGAAGAUUGUAGUCUGAGUGAAAAUAUAAAUUAUUUAAAACUUUCAACAACGGAUCUCUUGGUUCCGGCAUCGAUGAAGAACGCAGCGAAAUGCGAUACGUAAUGUGAAUUGCAAAUUCAGUGAAUCAUCGAGUCUUUGAACGCACAUUGCGCCCCCUGGUAUUCCGGGGGGCAUGCCUGUCCGAGCGUCAUUUCUGCCCUCAAGCACGGCUUGUGUGUUGGGCCCCGUCCUCCGAUCCCGGGGGACGGGCCCGAAAGGCAGCGGCGGCACCGCGUCCGGUCCUCGAGCGUAUGGGGCUUUGUCACCCGCUCUGUAGGCCCGGCCGGCGCUUGCCGAUCAACCCAAAUUUUUAUCCAGGUUGACCUCGGAUCAGGUAGGGAUACCCGCUGAACUUAAGCAU
rnacentral:rRNA from 6 species